ACCCAUCCUUAAGUUUUCCAGGAGAUACAGAAGCAGUUUGACACCUGCUGCCCAGUUCACCUUUCCUGAGAGCCCAGAGGACCAUUGAGAGGUGCACAGUGCAGCUGGGAGAGAGCAGCCCCCGUUUAUGGGGAGAGGUGGAGGGAGCAGAAAAUAUCUGUAGUUGCACCGGGGCGAAAAGAGGGGAAAAGGGAAAGAAAGGAAAAUGAAGAGGGGCUGUACCCACCAGACCAG
rnacentral:lncRNA from 1 species